AUUCUGACAAUGCAUUAAGGAUGAGUUGGAGGAAGGAAGAAACUAGAGACAAGAAAACUACUGAGAUAGUUUAGCCAAGGCAGGAUGAGGGCUUCAGGAUAAUGGCUCAGUGUUUGGAGAGAAUGGAUAUCAAAGUUGUUUUAGAGGCAGAAAGAAUCAGAUUUGGCAAAUGAUUGUAUACAUGGUAUCAACAAAAAUGAGAAAUCUAGGAUAAUCCUGAGGUUGAAAACUUGGGACACUGGAAAAAUGGCAAUAUCUUCAAUCAAAAUCGAGAAUUCAGAAGAGGGUCACAGGGUUGCAUUUGAAGAACUCUGACAUGCAGGAGAGUUUGCAAAGAAGGACAAUCAGAUUGGAUCCCCUCAGCUGUCAGGUUCAGUUAUACUCUGUCUCUCCAAGAGAAGUCAAUGCUCUAUCAAUGGUUGCACCUGGCCAAAAGAUACCACUAAGAAAGAAGAGAGUCAACGUAAAAGGUGCAAGAUUCUUGUGAGUAGAGGUCAAGAUAACAUCUGUUUUGCCUUGAUGUUGUUAUUGUUGCUGUUGUUGUUAUCAUCAUCUUAGUAAAUGAUACUAUAGAGAGUCUGGCCUGAAAUCAUGAAGAUCUGAGUUCCGACACUGUUUGCCUCAGUUUCCUCAUCUAUAAAAGGAACUGGAAAAGAAAAUGGCAAAACUCUCCAGGA